AUUGAACGUUGGCGGCAGGCCUAAAACAUGCAGGUCGAACGGUAACAGCGGAAGCUUGCUUCCGGCUGACGAGUGGCGGACGGGUGAGUAAUACGCAGGAAUCUGCCCAGUAGUGGGGGACAACCCGGGGAAACCCGGGCUAAUGCCGCAUACGCUCUACGGAGGAAAGCGGGGGAUCUUCGGACCUCGCGCUAACGGAGGAGCCUGCGUCGGAUUAGCUAGUUGGUGGGGUAAAGGCCUACCAAGGCGACGCUCCGUAGCUGGGCUGAGAGGACGAUCAGCCACACUGGAACUGAGACACGGUCCAGACUCCUACGGGAGGCAGCAGUUAGGAAUCUUGGGCAAUGGGCGCAAGCCUGACCCAGCCAUGCCGCGUGUGUGAAGAAGGCCUUCGGGUUGUAAAGCACUUUCAGUGGUGAAGAAAAGCUCGGGGCGAAUAUCCCCGAGUUUUGACGUUAUCCACAGAAGAAGCACCGGCUAACUCCGUGCCAGCCGCCGCCGUAAGAC
rnacentral:rRNA from 1 species